AACGAACGCUGGCGGCAGGCUUAACACAUGCAAGUCGAGCGCCCCGCAAGGGGAGCGGCAGACGGGUGAGUAACGCGUGGGAAUCUACCCAUCUCUACGGAACAACUCCGGGAAACUGGAGCUAAUACCGUAUACGUCCUUCGGGAGAAAGAUUUAUCGGAGAUGGAUGAGCCCGCGUUGGAUUAGCUAGUUGGUGGGGUAAUGGCCUACCAAGGCGACGAUCCAUAGCUGGUCUGAGAGGAUGAUCAGCCACACUGGGACUGAGACACGGCCCAGACUCAUACGGGGGGCAGCAGUGGGGAAUAUUGGACAAUGGGCGAAAGCCUGAUCCAGCCAUGCCGCGUGAGUGAUGAAGGCCCUAGGGUUGUAAAGCUCUUUCACCGGUGAAGAUAAUGACGGUAACCGGAGAAGAAGCCCCGGCUAACUUCGUGCCAGCCGCCGCCGUAACAC
rnacentral:rRNA from 1 species